AAAACGUCAUUCUCUUCUUAAUUUGUUGCGAAUCUCCCCGAUAAAGUUUGGGUCAAUGGCCAUGAACUUUUUCUCACACGUUGUUUGAGUGAUUUGCGUCAAAAUCUUUUGACGCAAUUUCGAUCUGCCUCAGAAAAUAACCCUGGAUCAACCAAAGUUCCUCCUGAUUUACUACUUAUAAUCAUUUCCGUUCGUCCUAUAAGCCUUUCUUCCUAUUUUCGCAGGGUUUUAAUAGUCAGAAGAAUGAUGGGUUUACGAGAUCAAAGCUGCCGGAACCGUUGAUGGUGGUGGGCAAUGAGAAGGCAUUUGAUAUUUCCGAUGAGGAGGAAAACAAGCCGCCCAUUGCUUCUGCAGAAUGCCGUCUUUGCCAGGACAAGUGUCCUAUGAAGAAUCUCGAGAGCCCUCGUGCUUGUAGUGCCAGUGUGAAGAUCCGAUCCUGAAAUCGGACCCUUUGAAUGCUUAGAGAAACUGGAACAGAUUUCAGUGUAAAGUUUGAUUAAGAUACUGUAAAAUUAAAUGGCUUUCUGGGGUGGGUUUCAUGUUGGAAGAAGUCAAUGCGAAGAACAAGGAUGCUGAGUGGAGUCGUGUGUAGGAACUAGUCGUUAGUAGUCUUAUUCAAAUAAGGACCUGAUAUAUCGGUCAAAGUAGUUGCAGAAGAAGGUCUGUUUCUCUGCAGUAUUUUUAGGAGUUUUCUGUUGAUGUAAAGGCUAUAUAAUGCCAUCAUAUUUCAUUGAAUAAGAUACAA